rnacentral:rRNA from 1 species
GACGAACGCUGGCGGCGUGCUUAACACAUGCCAGUCGAACGGAAAGGCCCUGCUUGCAGGGUACUCGAGUGGCGAACGGGUGAGUAACACGUGGGUGAUCUGCCCUGCACUUCGGGAUAAGCUUGGGAAACUGGGUCUAAUACCGGAUAGGAACCAUCUUUAGUUUGGUGGUUGGAAAGUUUUUUCGGUGUAGGAUGAGCUCGCGGCCUAUCAGCUUGUUGGUGGGGUAAUGGCCUACCAAGGCGGCGACGGGUAGCCGGCCGGAGAGGGUGUACGGCCACAUUGGGACUGAGAUCCGGCACAGACUCCUACGGGAGGCAGGAGUGGGGAAUAUUGAACAAUGGGCGCAAGCCUGAUGCAGCGACGCCGCGUGGGGGAUGAAGGCCUUCGGGUUGUAAACUCCUUUCGCUAGGGACGAAGCUUUGUUGUGACGGUACCUAGAUAAGAAGCACCGGCUAACUACGUG